rnacentral:rRNA from 1 species
GACGAAUGCUGGCUGCGUGCUUAACACAUGCAAGUCGAACGGUGAAAGGGAGCUUGCUCCCUGGAUCAGUGGCGAACGGGUGAGUAACACGUGGGCAACCUGCCCCUCACUCUGGGAUAACUCCGGGAAACCGGGGCUAAUACCGGAUACGACCUGGUGCGACAUCGCACCGGGUGGAAAGAACUUCGGUGAGGGAUGGGCCCGCGGCCUAUCAGCUUGUUGGUGGGGUAACGGCCCACCAAGGCGACGACGGGUAGCCGGCCUGAGAGGGCGACCGGCAACACUGGGACGGAGACACGGCCCAGACUCCUACGGGAGGCAGCAGUGGGGAAUAUUGCGCAAUGGGCGAAAGCCUGACGCAGCGACGCAGCGUGAGGGACGAAGGCCUUCGGGCUGUAAACCUCUUUCAGCGGGGACGAAGCGAAAGUGACGGUACCCGCAGAAGAAGCACCGGCUAACUACGUGCCAGCCGCCGCGGUAAGAC